rnacentral:rRNA from 1 species
AUUGAACGCUGGCGGCAGGCCUAACACAUGCAAGUCGAGCGGAUGAAGGGAGCUUGCUCCUGGAUUCAGCGGCGGACGGGUGAGUAAUGCCUAGGAAUCUGCCUGGUAGUGGGGGAUAACGUCCGGAAACGGCGCCGAUGCCGCCAACGGCCUGAGGGAGGAAGUGGGGGGUCCUUAGGCCUCACGCUAUCCGACUGGCCUAGGUAGGAUUAGCUAGGUGGCUGGGUAAAGGCCUACCAAGGCGACGAUCCGUAACUGGUCUGAGAGGAUGAUCAGUCACACUGGAACUGAGACACGGUCCAGACUCCUACGGGAGGCAGCAGUGGGGAAUAUUGGACAAUGGGCGAAAGCCUGAUCCAGCCAUGCCGCGUGUGUGAAGAAGGUCUUCGGAUUGUAAAGCACUUUAAGUUGGGAGGAAGGGCAGUAAGUUAAUACCUUGCUGUUUUGACGUUACCAACAGAAUAAGCACCGGCUAACUUCGUG